rnacentral:rRNA from 1 species
AAAGGGGCUUCGGCCCUGAGUAGAGUGGCGAACGGGUGAGUAACACGUGGGUGAUCUACCUCUGAGUGGGGGAUAACCUUCCGAAAGGAGGGCUAAUACCGCAUGACGUUCUGGGUUUGAAGACCUGGAAACCAAAGUCGGGGACCGCAAGGCCUGACGCUUGGAGAGGAGCCCGCGUCUGAUUAGCUAGUUGGCGGGGUAAUGGCCCACCAAGGCGACGAUCAGUAGCCGGCCUGAGAGGGCGGACGGCCACACUGGGACUGAGACACGGCCCAGACUCCUACGGGAGGCAGCAGUGGGGAAUUGUUCGCAAUGGGCGCAAGCCUGACGACGCAACGCCGCGUGGAGGAUGAAGGUCUUCGGAUUGUAAACUCCUGUUGAUCGGGAAGAACGGGCUCCGGAUGAAUACUCUGGAGCAGUGACGGUACCGAUUGAGGAAGCCACGGCUAACUCUGUGCCAGCAGCCGCGGUAAUACAGAGGUGGCAAGCGUUGUUCGGAAUUACUGGGCGUAAAGGGCGCGUAGGCGGCCUUGUCAGUCAGACGUGAAAUCCCCAGGCUUAACCUGGGAACUGCGUCUGAUACUACAAGGCUGGAGUUCGGGAGAGGAAUGUGGAAUUCCAGGUGUAGCGGUGAAAUGCGUAGAUAUCUGGAGGAACACCGGUGGCGAAGGCGGCAUUCUGGACCGAAACUGACGCUGAGGCGCGAAAGCCAGGGGAGCAAACGGGAUUAGAUACCCCGGUAGUCCUGGCCCUAAACGAUGAGUGCUUGGUGUGGCGGGUAUCGAU